rnacentral:lncRNA from 1 species
UGAAAAAGGAAGAGCUCUGACCUGAUCUCUUGAUAGUGGCUGCCUUUCAACACUUGUGAGAGCUCUACAAUUUUAAAAAACCAUAUUAUAGUCUCUCAGAAGACUAAUCAGCUUUGAGAGGUUGAGGAAAGGGUGGCCAAGUGAGAGGGCCUGUCUGCUGGUCAGGGGCAGCAGGACAAAGAGCAGAUGUAGCUUUGGAAUCAAACCCUUCUGACCAUCCAAGGGCAAGAACAAUGUUCCUGAGCAAAUCUCAAACAUACGGUAAGAAUCCUUUUCCCCAUCAAGGAUAAGGAUGAAAA